CCGAGUGAUAUUCGCAGAAAGUCCGUCAGCCCCUGGUAUACCAGUGGUGUAUCGCACUCCUGAUGAAAGGUCUUCCAAUCCAGACAGACUCAACCUAGACAGACGGAAACUGACAGUAUGUCCGAUACUGGAGGGAGAGGAACAGCUUCGGCUGCUGAACUACCAACACAACAUGAUCAACAAGAUCCAGCACCUCAGCUCCCUGAAGCGCCUCAUCUUCCUCGACCUGUAUGAUAACCAGAUUGAGGAGAUUUCCGGCCUCAGUGCACUCAAGUCUUUACGGGUACUCAUGUUGGGCAAGAACAAAAUUAAAAGAAUAGAAAAUUUAGAAACACUUUGUAAACUGGAUGUGCUGGACUUACAUGGUAAUCAG